CCGAAAAUUGGCAAUUUUGCCAAAAUGACCUAAGCUUUAAACAAAUGACCAAAACCAACAAGUUUGGUGACCAAAAUGUGGUAUGUGGGUGAAGUUGGAGUUCCCAUACCCAUUAAGCCUUAGAAAGUCAAUAAUUUGACUUGAAUAGUGCAGUGAAUAGUAACCCGAAACACAAAAUUUCGAGAACGUCGAAUUUAACACGUUAGAGCUAGCUAAAUGUGAAGUUAAGUUUAUUUUGGAUUUAUUUUAAGUUCUAGUACUGAAACAUUGUAAAAUUGUGUGUUUCAGUUGAAAAGAAUAUCGGGAAGGAACCCGAGGAACCGAGUCGAGGCUAAAGGACGACUCGUUUGAGAUACAGAGAUUAGAGGAGCAGCAGACUGAGCUGCUGAGGUGUGUGAAGUCAUCAGUUUGAAGCCUUCGGGUAUAAUUUAUACCCUAACUGUAAAUACUUCUUUUGAUGUAUAUAUUGCACAUAAAUGUAUGGACAUGUAAAAAUGGGUCUUGAGCAGCUUGUACACAAAUUUGUAUGAAGUUUGUAAUAAAGUUUAGUUUGUGUUUCUUUUGAUAUAAA